GACGAACGCUGGCGGCGUGCUUAAACACAUGCAAGUCGAGCGGUAAGGCCCUUUCGGGGGUACACGAGCGGCGAACGGGUGAGUAACACGUGGGUGACCUGCCCUCAGCUCUGGGAUAAGCCUGGGAAACCGGGUCUAAUACUGGAUAUGACUCCAUGACGCAUGUUGUGGGGUGGAAAGCCUUGUGCGGCUGAGGAUGGGCCCGCGGCCUAUCAGCUUGUUGGUGGGGUGAUGGCCUACCAAGGCGACGACGGGUAGCCGGCCUGAGAGGGCGACCGGCCACACUGGGACUGAGACACGGCCCAGACUCCUACGGGAGGCAGCAGUGGGGAAUCUUGCGCAAUGGGCGAAAGCCUGACGCAGCGACGCCGCGUGAGGGAUGACGGCCUCGG
rnacentral:rRNA from 1 species